rnacentral:rRNA from 1 species
GGCUGCCUACGGGGCGCAGCAGUAGGGAAUCUUCCACAAUGGACGAAAGUCUGAUGGAGCAAUGCCGCGUGAGUGAAGAAGGUUUUCGGAUCGUAAAGCUCUGUUGCGAGGGAAGAACACGUACGGGAGUAACUGCCCGUACCUUGACGGUACCUCGUCAGAAAACCACGGCUAACUACGUGCCAGCAGCCGCGGUAAUACGUAGGUGGCAAGCGUUGUCCGGAAUUAUUGGGCGUAAAGCGCGCGCAGGCGGUCCUUUAAGUCUGAUGUGAAAGCCCACGGCUCAACCGUGGAGGGUCAUUGGA